GACAGAGGUGCCAAGCGUUAGGCGGAAUCACUGGGCUUAAAGCGUGUGUAGGCGGAAUUGUAAGUACCUUGUGAAAUCCCACGGCUCAACCGUGGAACUGCUUGGUAUACUGCUUUUCUUGAGCCACUUAGGGGCUACCGGAACAAAUGGUGGAGCGGUGAAAUGCGUAGAUAUCGCUUGGAACGCCAACGGUGAAAACAGGUUGCUGGGGGUGUGCUGACGCUGAGACACGAAAGCCAGGGGAGCAAACGGG
rnacentral:rRNA from 1 species